UCAACAAAUGGAUGUUCGGGUUGAAGGGAAAGGCACGUGUAUGUAUCUCAUCCCGCUGUGGCGGAUGCGUGUGUUGCCCUCUUAUAUGAGGAGAGAGCCUAUUUGCGGCUAAUGCUACUCUCAUUUGAAGGGUCGUGUACAAGAGGUAAGGCAACAUGGUGGCUAAAAAACCGGUAGCAUGGGGCCAGAGUGUUCUGCCUCCUCCACACACUCUCUAAGGGUAGGCAAUCAUGUGUGCUACACCCCGCUAUGAGAGGUUAUGCCAGGUCAAGGCUAAGAUGGGGACUUGAAUCGACCUAUACUGGUGAUGCUAAGGUACAAGAACUCGAUGAUGUUGCUUUUAUUGCACAUGAUGCAUUAGGAACGACUACCGAGCCAGGGGCGAGGAGCGUGUUCCUUCGCAUCAUAGGAAAGAUUCUAUCCGCUCUUAGGAGGACGCGCAAUAUGAAAUGUGAUGGACACGAGGAACGUCUCAUAGGGUACGAGCGUUGAUGAGUCUGAGGACACACGAGAGCAGGCUCAAGUCGUGCACUUGAUGAAGCUGGAGGCUCACAGCAAGCUCAAGACGGAUGUUCACAGCAGGUUCAAGUCGACGAGGAUGUCAUGUGCUCACAAGUUCACACACAACCGGACGUUGAGAUCAUCCGAGCUCAUGUUGAAAGUGAACAGGGAAG